AACAGAGAGUGUGUUGGACAGUAUACAAACGUCAGGAUGGCAAGAAGCGCUAAUCUCACGGUUCAAUAUCAAAACUUUCUAAAGGAGUCGUUCGAAAAAGAGAAAACGCAUCGACUAAUGUGGUAUAAUAAACGUCGUCAGUUGACGACCAGAUCUCGGCAGCUGGAAGUUUUUCGUAAAAAGAUCACAGAAGAAGGCAAACCUUCCGAAGCGCUGUUGGAAAAACUUCCAGCCAUCAAGGAGGAGCCACGUUACAACCACAGAAAAGUGAACUUGAACGAACCACCACCCAUGCCACGGUCCCUGACGGAGUUUGAUCUCAAGCAAGAAAUGCGACCUGCCUCUCCAAGUACCAUGAACGUUCUGUAUGAUGGUUUUACUAAAGAAGGCAAAGGCCGAUACAAGUACCUCAAGCUCCGCUAUGAAGAUAUCCCGGAGACCAAAUUCCAGUUCCCUGUCAUCAGUUCCUGGGAGUAUGGCUGGCACCAAGCACAAGAAAUCAAGAAGGAGGACAUUAAAAAACCAGAAAACGGCCGUACGGCCAACAUCCAAAAUUCUUUCUAUACCAGGAAUGGCGUCUUUCCAAAUCCAUCAAACUUCUAGGAUUCCAGCUGUCAACAAUUAGGAGCCUGCAAGAAUCUAAAUUUGAAAGACAAUUUACCUGUAAACUACAUCUGCAUGAUGAUAGAAAUGACAAACUGCUGUUACAUGCUGCUUUCGCAAAGCAAAAGUGGAACAUCCUGGACAAUGUUUGACCCCUGCUGGUACACAUCCUCUGAUAGUCGUGACCACUGACGCCUGGCUGAAGUGCAUAAAGUCCUAAUCGCACCUGCGGUCAUUCCUCGCAGUUCUCUCUCUCUCCCAGAUGUCCUGUUGCUGGCGGUCGACCUACGCGAAUUUCGCAACACUUCAGUCAUGUAGGUGGUCUAGUAUUUUCACCGUCUUUACAAUGAGGUCGAGUAAAGUACGAGCACGUCACCUGGCUACGCUUCCGGUUGUCACGCAGCGAAUGACAUUUCAAAUCUUUUAUUUUCUCCGCGAAGAUACCUUCAAGUCACAUCAAACGUUAAAAGUUGGCAGAAUCAGUUCACCGCAUACAUAGAUUUUUUUUUAAUUUGUCGAAAUACUCAAGUUCCAUUAGUUAAUGUAAAACAGACUGAAUAACGUACGCCGCCGACAACAGUCUGAAUCUAUAUAUAUAUCUAUCAACUUAAUUUGUCGUUUAGCUGCCAAAUGAUAUCAGCAUAAAAAGUGAAACUUUGUGUAAUCGGGUGUUGAUAUAUCUCGAGCAGCCCUGAUAACAUUUCUUGGUACCUUUAUGCAUCAUGCAGCUGGCCAGUUUUCAGGGUUUGUCUACUACAUAAAUAACGUUCAGCCCCUUUAGAUCUUUACUUCAAUGGGGUCUGUAGUUGUAUUAUUAACACUUAGUGUAUAGAAUAAAAGAUGUGAUUAUGUCUGAACAAAACAAAAAAAUGCAAUAAUCUCUUUUAUUAGUACGUGCCAAAAGCGCCAAUUUUUUUAAGCCUGAAAAAGGCAAAGUUAAUAAUUGUCACCAACCGAGAUCUGCAGUGACCCAUAUUUCAAAACGAAUGACAUGUUUUUAGAGUUGAUAGAAGUUGAUAACGUUGAGUCGUCUUCAUUGCCUUCUCAGGUCCGAGAUUUCGCUGUCACCACGGUGAUGAUGACUGGGGGAGGUUUUGGUGUUAUCAGCAGCACCGGAUGUCAGCGUUUUCCUUUGUGUGUGUGUGUGGUUUUUUUUUUUUUUUUAUCGUCUACUCCAGUUUCCCCCACAAGUCUUCCAAGUGGUGUCAUCACAUGCAAAGUUCGAGUGCAACGACUAACUUUUGAGUUGGUCAGCAGGCCACCAACGAUCGCCGAAAUCCCGACGUCGAUCUGCUUAUCUCGCUCUGCACGUGGCAAAAUAUCUUAGUUCCUGCAAAAGUUUGUGCAAUCCAUGCCCCCAGAGGCGCCCUCAGUACAGCCUAACAAUGGUUUCAUCCCCUCUUCCCAAAACACUCGACUUGGUGUUGAUGGAGAAGUGAUAAAAAUGUACUUUUCUUCAAAGUCUUUCCCCAGACCAGAUCUUUUAAAUAACUGUUAAAUAUAUACAUGUUCACCUACUUUUAAAAUUUAUUUCUUGACUGAUAACUACACCGCAGACACAAAAAACGUUACGUAUGUACGGUACGUGUCAGCGUGAUCUCAGAGGUAUUUAUAAGCACUCUAGUUGUAAUGGUUCACAGAACAGCAAAUCCGUAAAAUCUUUGCACAAAUGUAAGAAAUUCAAAUAGUCCUCGUCAAUAUAACUUGCAGACGGUCUAAUUAGUUUUAUAGCUACGUGUUUCAAGCAAUUAUAACGCACCUAUUGAAACCUCGCAGCACGGACAUUAGAUCGGUUAAGAGAAUUCCUCCACAGCCAGCCUAUAGUUUGAUUUUUUUUUUUUUUUUUUUUUUUGGUAACCCACGCGGCUGUUACAACUAGAGAAAUCUUUCGUUUCAUAGUAAGAUCUGAUCACAGGUGAAAUAGGUCAGUCAUCUGCUCGUCGUUGCCUAGAAGGGCAGUGCACCCGGCCUCUGUCAGAAACCCUCGUUCAACUGAUUUUUGGCUGUGACAAUCAGGAAUAGUAAAAUAUGGGGGCAUGAGAAAACAAAAACCUGCUUUAAGCGCAAUCAAUUUACUUUAGUCCUUGUUACUCGAGGAGCAUAGGGACCACAACAACACCUCGCCAGUGCCCGGUUUUGGGCAGCCUUCUUCAGUUGUGCCCAUGUGGUUCCGAUUGUCCGUUGCCUCGCUCUCUAUUGUUCUUUUCCAAGUCUGCUUUGGUCUCCAUACUCUUCUCUUUCCUUGAGGGUUCCAAUCAAGUACCUGCUUGGCAAUGGUGUCAGCUGGUUUGUACAGGGUGUGUCCUAUCCAGCCCCAUUUGUGCUUUUUGAUGUCAUGGGUAGUGACAUUCUGGCUGGUUCUUUUCCACAGGCUGCUGUUGGAGAUCUUGUCAGGCCAUUUUAUUCCCAGAAUAUGGCGUAGGCAUCGGUUGGUAAAGGUCUGCAGCUUGUUGUUGAUGGUGUUUGUCACUCUCCAGGUUUCAGAACCAUACAGUAGGACAGUUUUCACAUUUAAUCAGGCUUAUCUGCAUAACUGACGUCACGUUUGACUUCUUCUUAUAAAUAAUGAUAUUUGUAGGCUUGUAUUUCGAGAAUCAUAAGUGGAAAUGUGGACAUAUACUGUCUGGAGAAUAAGAUCUGGAAAAUGACCAUUAAAACUCUUCUAAAGUAUUCAUCCUCGAUUCUUCAAUAAGUAAAUAUACUAAAUGAACUUGGCAAUAUUGUUAAAUAAUAUUCAAUUUAUUAAAGAAUGAUCAAUACAAAAUAUGAAAAACUGCUUAGCAAUGUUUUCUCUCAAACUGUAAUAAAGUUGUUGGGUUAACCUAACAUAAACUAAAGUCUAUGCAUUAAUACCAUUCAAGGAAUACAACUAAAGCACAGUGACAGCAACGUAUAAUCACUGUCUGGCAAACAUAUAAACAACGUACUAUAUGUACAACCAUGGAAAUGUUAUUGUAUCGUGUAGCGAUAUAUCAAUGAACUGUGACUACAUGCCUAUCAACAGACAAGACAUGACAUUGUGUAAGGGCUAUAGGACAGUUUCAUUGUUGGUUUACAAAAAGGACCCUCCACCGGUAUACGAACACUACCAAAGUCAAACUGGAACAAAGCGUUCUUCAUUAUAAUCCUCAGCAACUUUUUAUCACAGAUCAGUAUCGACAGGAAACGCACAAAAACCUUGCUUCAGCUGCUGUCUGCCAAGUGAGAUUCGGCCGCAGAAAAAAAAA